GAUCCUCACGGUCCUAAUGCCCUUCAGCCCGAGGCGCGCGCCUGCCGCGGGCGCCCAUUCAUUCGCGCGCAGAGCCCGCCCCCCGCUCCAGCCCCGGCCGGCUGCGGGGCCGCUGCGCCUCGGGAGAGGAGCGUAGCGGGUGCAAAGCGGCGCCAGAGAAAGGCCCGACGAGGCAGACGCCCGCGGUGGAAUGGCGACGGGCCAGAGCCAGUCUCGGCUCCAAUGGCUCGGCGACCGAGCUCCUGGCGGCUGCCCGCGCGCGGCCCUGGUCUGUCCCGCCUACCUCCACCCACCCCCGGACCGAGCGGCCCUGAGUCACCGGUUGGAGAUGCGCGACCCCGGCCCGGGCCCGCGCUGCGUAGCUGCCUUUCUGGACUGCGCUCUGAACUGCGCUCUGGAACAGGGUUUAAGUAAAAGAAGGGUUGCCGAGAGAUGACCUCCAAGGUCCCUCCAGCUGUGCCAUUUUGGACUUCCAGUUGUCUCCCUUGUCACAGUGCUCUCAGGCACGGUCCCCUUCUCUUUAAAGCUGCUGAAGCCAGCACUCAGGUACAGAAAGGAGUCCAGAAAAGAGUCCAGAAAAGUCAAGUGAUUGGUCCAAAGACACACAGCUGAUGACCACAACCAGAACCCAGGUCAUCAACCCACUCCUCUGAUCCUCCAACACACUAUACAACUGAGUUUAGGACAAAGCAAAAUAUGAAGUCCAUAGACUACACUCCCAUCACCCCCACCAACCAAA